ACGUGUGCAGACAGACUGCUUACCGGAGCUGGGUGAAACUACAGUGGCGUUCGUGGAGUUCCUGUGGUAGAGUGUGUCAAGUCUAAACCUCGCACUGGGGUUUAGUCUCUCGGUGGAGGGUGGUAACUAUUGUUGUAUUAAUUUACCCUUUGUGGCAAAUUGUUUUUCCAUAAGCUACCUUUUUAAGUUUGCGCUUAGUUUUGGGAAGUUUUUUGUUGCACCUUUUUGAGAAUCCCUUGGUUACUUAAAAUCGUAACUAACCUCUUCCUUCCCUGGACUUUCCACUGGAGGUUCGUAACAAUUUGGGGGCUCCUCCGGGAUCUUUUUCCCAAACAUUUAGGGUUAUAUGGAAGAAAGCUAUUAGCGUUUAUUGUUUGUGUUGCUGGUGUUGAAACUGUUUCCAGUGACUUUUGCGUGUGGGUUUUCACUGUCCAGUCUUUCCAGAGAAAAGGCCCUUCCCCAGCUAGUUAGAAGUGUGCAGCUAGGCUGCCCCCACGACCAGACAUGUACUCCGUCGUUUCUUGGUAUGGCUAGAUACUACAGGUGUUUUUGUAAAAACCUCUCAGUAGUCGUCUCCCCCCUGACUAGUUCGUGUAGUCCCAGUGUCCUGUUUGUGUGGACGGAUGAGUGUCGACAUGCUUUUGAAGCAGGGAAAUCUCUCCUCUGUUGUGCCCCAGUCCUGGCCGCACCAAACUCCUCUCUCCCCUUUAAGCUCAAGGUUGACGCGAGUGCGACAGGGGCUGGUGCUGUGCUGCUGCGGGAUGGAAAAGGAGAUGUGUGUCAUCCAGUUAGCUACUUCUCUGUCAAGUUUAAAAAACAUCAGCUAAACUACUCCACUAUAUAGAGGGGGAAAAAAACCCUCGCAUUGCUGCUCGCUCUGCAGCAUUUCGAAGUCUGUCAGUUAUAGCCCCUUUCCAGUUGUUGUCUUCACAGAUUAUAACCCUCUGGUUUUCCUGUCCCAAAUGUACAACCACAACCAACGCCUGAUGAGAUGGGCUCUGUUGGUGCAGGGUUACAAAUUGGAGAUCCGGCAUAAGAAGGGAGCUGACAACGUGAUAGCCGACACAUUGUCACGCGGGCGUACUGCUCCUUGUCUGUCCUCUGUAGGUCCUGCCCUCCUCCUUACCCCCCUGCAUGCUGCAGCCGGGAGGCUAGUAUGCACACCUCUUCCCAGUUGGCAAUCAGCAGGAGCACCAGAGCAAGUACAGGUGCAGAGAGCGAUCAGACUGAGUGUGGAGAGCUGACGUGUGCAGACAGACAGCUUACCGGAGCUGGGUGACACUACAGUGGCGUUUAUGGAAUGCCUGUGGUAGUGUGUGUCAAGUCCAAGCCUCGCACUGGGGUUUUACUGUCUCGGUGGAGGGAGGGUGGUAACUAUUGUUGUAUUAAUUUACCCUUUGUGGCAAUUUGUUUUUCCAUAAGCUACUUUUUUAAGUUUACUGGCAUGUUGUCUAACCGUACCUUUUAAACUAGGCGCUUCCUCUUUGUUUUGGGAAGUUGUAAAUAAACCCCAAACUAUACUGAUAAA